rnacentral:rRNA from 1 species
UGGGGAAUUUUCCGCAAUGGGCGAAAGCCUGACGGAGCAAUACCGCGUGAGGGAGGAAGGCUCUUGGGUUGUAAACCUCUUUUCUCAGGGAAUAAAAAAAUGAAGGUACCUGAGGAAUAAGCAUCGGCUAACUCCGUGCCAGCAGCCGCGGUAAUACGGAGGAUGCAAGCGUUAUCCGGAAUGAUUGGGCGUAAAGCGUCCGCAGGUGGCACUGUAAGUCUGCUGUUAAAGAGCAAGGCUCAACCUUGUAAAGGCAGUGGGAACUACAGGGCUAGAGUCCGUUCGGGGCAGGGGGAAUUCCUGCUGUCGCGGUGAAAUGCGUAGAGAUCAUGAAGAACCCCGGUAGCGAAAGCGCUCUGCUAGGCCGUAACUGACACUGCGGGACGAAAGCUAGGGGAGCGAAUUGG